rnacentral:rRNA from 2 species
AGCUCCAAUAGCGUAUAUUAAAGUUGUUGCAGUUAAAAAGCUCGUAGUUGAACUUCUGCGUACCUUCAGUUCUGGCUCCGGUCAAGCUGAUGCGUGCGCAUCCGCUUGCAAACCCGGACCGGCCUUCACUGGUCGACCGGGGGAGUAAGCCCUUUACUUUGAAAAAAUUAGAGUGUUUCAGGCAGGCAAUGGCUCGAAUACAUUAGCAUGGAAUAAUGGAAUAGGACUUUUGUCCAUUUGGUUGGUUAUUGGACAUGAGUAAUGAUUAAAAGGGACAGUUGGGGGCAUUAGUAUUUAAUUGUCAGAGGUGAAAUUCUUGGAUUUAUUAAAGACUAACUUAUGCGAAAGCAUUUGCCAAGGAUGUUUUCAUUA